ACAACGGAGAGUUUGAUCCUGGCUCAGGAUGAACGCUGGCGGCGUGCUUAACACAUGCAAGUCGAACGAACCUUCGGGUUAGUGGCGGACGGGUGAGUAACGCGUGAGAAUCUGCCCUCAGGAGGGGGAUAACGGCUGGAAACGGCCGCUAAUACCCCAUAUGCCGAGAGGUGAAAUGAAAUUCGCCUGAGGAUGAGCUCGCGUCUGAUUAGCUAGUUGGUGGGGUAAGGGCCUACCAAGGCUUCGAUCAGUAGCUGGUCUGAGAGGAUGAUCAGCCACACUGGGACUGAGACACGGCCCAGACUCCUACGGGAGGCAGCAGUGGGGAAUUUUCCGCAAUGGGCGAAAGCCUGACGGAGCAACGCCGCGUGAGGGAUGAAGGCCU
rnacentral:rRNA from 1 species